rnacentral:tRNA from 1 species
GAGGGCAUAGCUCGGCGGUGGAGCACACGCUUAGCAAGCUUGAGGUCCUGGGUUCAAUCCCCAGCACCUCCU